rnacentral:tRNA from 1 species
GCCAGGGUGGGGUAGUCUGGACAUCCUAGGGGACUGUGGAUCCCUCGACCCGGGUUCGAAUCCCGGCUCUGGCC